UAGCUAAUUUUACAGUAUUGUGUAGAUUAAUUGUUUAUAAAACACACAAUAAAAUGUUUUGAACGCAAAAGUUGGACAUUUUUAAUAAAACGUAGAAAGAAGUUCACGAAACCGAUCUAAAAUGUUAACCAAUCAAAGCUCGCCUAACUUUACCGUGAAAUUCACUUGGCCAAUCACGUUCGUCAUACCAGAGGAAACCGGAAAUCCUACGACUGGCACUGUUGUAAACAAGAAGAGAACCGAAGGCUUAAGGUAACAGUUAAUGUAGAUUGUUGGGCCAGUUGGGUUUGAAUCUUGGAUGCUGUGACGUCGCUGACAUCGUCUGGCGGUGGUUCUCUAAACAUGGCUAUGGAGUGUAAGGUGAGAGGAGCAGGCGCUGACAUAUGGAUCUGGGAAUUUAUAAUGGUGGAUGAAGAGAAGUGGACUGUGUCAAAGGAGCUGACAUUAGUGGCCUGGAGAGCACCAUAGUCUUUUUUCCAGAGGGUG